CAAAAAGAUCUAAUUGUACUUUAAAGGAGAAAUGAAAUAAUUUUGAUAUUCUGUCAUUGAAUGAUUUUGGCUUUGGAUGAGACAUUCCUGCUUUCUGCAUCUCAAGGUGGCUUGGGUUGUCUUUGUUCAACACACAGAUGCCAAGGACUUUUAAAAACCUUAACUCUUGGCAGCCAUACAUGGACUUCAUCAAAGGCUGACCGUACACCCCAGAACUUCUUAAGGACAUGUAUUUCCCCUCAUUCCAGCUUCUCCUUUUUGUGCCCACAGUAUUUGAAUGCACUUUACAGUUGAGAAGUUAGUGAUUGGACAAAUGAAGAAACUGAUUACAUUUUCAAACAGCAGCAAAUAGGAAGAUACUCGAUGCAUCACUGCUGAAUCUCAUGAAGAUACAGACUGCAAAUCUGCUCCCUCCCUGUCUGAUCUCCCCCGCCAAAUUUGAGGAGAUUAAAAUUUCCUGUAAUCACUGAUUUAGAUGAUGAUACCUAAUUUAUGAUCAGGUCACUCACCUGGAAAACAACUAUCCUUUUUAAUCACAACUAUCCCACGGGAUGUAGAUCUUUCCUGAGUGUUCACUAAAAACACACAGCACCGAUUAGGCUAAAAUAGCAAUGUAACUCCCACAAUUUCCAGUGGUAACAUAAAUGGAAAUAAUUUAAACUGACGUUUUAUUUUGGUUACUCAUGUGGCAUUUAAUCUUUAGGAAAAUAACCUGAAUGUUUUAAUGGUAACAAACUGCAAAAAAAAAAUUUCUAUUUAUAUUAAAAUAUAUCAUACUCCAAAUGUAUUAAUUGACAUAUACUACUACUCAAAGUGUCAGCUACAGUAACCAGUGGGCAUAAUUUGAAUUUAUCAUUCUGUACAAAAUGUUGACUGCCCCAUCCUACUCUUCCCCCAAAUUUCACCUGUAUAUAAACAGGUAGGUUUAGAUAGACUUUGUUUUAAGACAAAGCCAAAGAUGCUUCAUUUUUAUUACAUUGAGCAUGUCAAAUUGACAUUUUGUAGUCCAAAAAUGCUCAAAUAUCAGCAAUGUAAUAUAACUCAAUCUAAUACAAAGAAUUACCAUACAAAUUAUUUUAAAUGGAAACUCCAUCAUAUUUUAAAGUAAUUCAAUUUCGAAAAAUGUAUAUUUCAUAAAUUUCAGAAUCAUGGGUUUAUAAAACAAAGUAUAAUGUGAAAUAUGUGUUUGGCAGCAGAUACUAAGGUAAAUCAAGUAAAGAUGGAUUCAUCCAGCACAACCACUCCAUUCACACCAAGUCUGAAACUUUGGACUCAUAACUGAGUUUGACCAUGGCAGAUCCCACCAUACUUACUAAGUAGGUAGGAGGGGUCCAUUUAAUGCAUUUAAAUGGCUAUAUUUAGUAAUACAUUUUAUUCACCCGCAUUUGUACAAAAGAAUUUCUUCUUCUUUUUUUUUUUUCUGGUACCGGGAAUCGAACUCUCGACCUCGCACUUGCCAGGCAGGCACUGUGCUGCUGAGCUAAAUUUCCAGCCCCCAAAAGAACUUCUUAAACAAAUUGUAAAAUACAUCUACAGGAAAAAUGGGGUUGUUUCUUGAAAAUUGUAUUUGAAGUAGAUUCAUAUUAUGUAAAACAAAAACAUUUUUGUAUUAAUAUUUAGCAUGUUAUUUUUGAUCCCUGAAUAAUAAAUGCUGAAAACAAAAAAUCUAUUGUUCUAAAAAUGUAAAGAAUUUUACAUUUGUUUCUUCAUCCCAAUAUAAAUAGUAACCACUACAUAUUUUGCAGGACUUAUUUUGAGAUCUCAUUAUUUUUUCUUGUUGUCUAAUGCUCACCAGUUUGAUUAACAAUAAAAUGUGAGAAAAUGA
ensembl:lincRNA